AGAGUUUGAUCCUGGCUCAGGACGAACGCUGGCGGCGUGCCUAAUACAUGCAAGUAGAACGCUGAAGAGAGGAGCUUGCUCUUCUUGGAUGAGUUGCGAACGGGUGAGUAACGCGUAGGUAACCUGCCUUGUAGCGGGGGAUAACUAUUGGAAACGAUAGCUAAUACCGCAUAACAAUGGAUGACACAUGUCAUUUAUUUGAAAGGGGCAAUUGCUCCACUACAAGAUGGACCUGCGUUGUAUUAGCUAGUAGGUGAGGUAAUGGCUCACCUAGGCGACGAUACAUAGCCGACCUGAGAGGGUGAUCGGCCACACUGGGACUGAGACACGGCCCAGACUCCUACGGGAGGCAGCAGUAGGGAAUCUUCGGCAAUGGGGGCAACCCUGACCGAGCAACGCCACGUGAGUGAAGAAGGUUUUCGGAUCGUAAAGCUCUGUUGUAAGUCAAGAACGGGUGUGAGAGUGGAAAGUUCACACUGUGACGGUAGCUUACCAGAAAGGGACGGCUAACUACGUGCCAGCAGCCGCGGUAAUACGUAGGUCCCGAGCGUUGUCCGGAUUUAUUGGGCGUAAAGCGAGCGCAGGCGGUUUGAUAAGUCUGAAGUUAAAGGCUGUGGCUCAACCAUAGUUCGCUUUGGAAACUGUCAAACUUGAGUGCAGAAGGGGAGAGUGGAAUUCCAUGUGCAGCGGUGAAAUGCGUAGAUAUAUGGAGGAACACCGGUGGCGAAAGCGGCUCUCUGGUCUGUAACUGACGCUGAGGCUCGAAAGCGUGGGGAGCGAACAGGAUUAGAUACCCUGGUAGUCCACGCCGUAAACGAUGAGUGCUAGGUGUUGGAUCCUUUCCGGGAUUCAGUGCCGCAGCUAACGCAUUAAGCACUCCGCCUGGGGAGUACGACCGCAAGGUUGAAACUCAAAGGAAUUGACGGGGGCCCGCACAAGCGGUGGAGCAUGUGGUUUAAUUCGAAGCAACGCGAAGAACCUUACCAGGUCUUGACAUCCCGAUGCUAUUUCUAGAGAUAGAAAGUUACUUCGGUACAUCGGUGACAGGUGGUGCAUGGUUGUCGUCAGCUCGUGUCGUGAGAUGUUGGGUUAAGUCCCGCAACGAGCGCAACCCCUAUUGUUAGUUGCCAUCAUUCAGUUGGGCACUCUAGCGAGACUGCCGGUAAUAAACCGGAGGAAGGUGGGGAUGACGUCAAAUCAUCAUGCCCCUUAUGACCUGGGCUACACACGUGCUACAAUGGUUGGUACAACGAGUUGCGAGUCGGUGACGGCGAGCUAAUCUCUUAAAGCCAAUCUCAGUUCGGAAUGUAGGCUGCAACUCGCCUACAUGAAGUCGGAAUCGCUAGUAAUCGCGGAUCAGCACGCCGCGGUGA
rnacentral:rRNA from 1 species